rnacentral:rRNA from 1 species
GAUGAACGCUAGCGGCAGGCUUAACACAUGCAAGUCGAGUGGUAUAGUUCUUCGGAGCUAGAGACCGGCGCACGGGUGCGUAACGCGUAUGCAAUCUACCUUUUGCAGAGGGAUAGCCCAGAGAAAUUUGGAUUAAUACCUCAUGGUAUGUGAGAAUGGCAUCAUUUUCACAUUAAAGUCACAACGGCAAAAGAUGAGCAUGCGUCCCAUUAGCUAGUUGGUAAGGUAACGGCUUACCAAGGCAACGAUGGGUAGGGGUCCUGAGAGGGAGAUCCCCCACACUGGUACUGAGACACGGACCAGACUCCUACGGGAGGCAGCAGUGAGGAAUAUUGGACAAUGGGCGCGAGCCUGAUCCAGCCAUGCCGCGUGCAGGAUGACGGUCCUAUGGAUUGUAAUCUGCUUUUGUACAGGAAGAAACACUGGUUCGUGAACCAGCUUGACGGUACUGUAAGAAUAAGGAUCGGCUAACUCCGUGCCAGCCGCCGCAGUAAUAC